CUCAUUAUGACAUCAUUAGAACACACUGAAGACAGGUUUAUAAUGACACAUCUCUCAUUAUGACAUCAUUAGAACACACUGAAGACAGGUUUAUAAUGACACAUCUCUCAUUAUGACAACAUUAGAACAGACUGAAGACAGGUUUAUAAGGACACAUCUCUCAUUAUGACAACAUUAGAACAGACUGAAGACAGGUUUAUAAUGACACAUCUCUCAUUAUGACAUCAUUAGAACACACUGAAGACAGGUUUAUAAUGACACAUCUCUCAUUAUGACAACAUUAGAACAGACUGAAGACAGGUUUAUAAGGACACAUCUCUCAUUAUGACAUCAUUAGAACACACUGAAGACAGGUUUAUAAGGACACAUCUCCCAUUAUGACAGACUGAAGACAGGUUUAUAAUGACACAUCUCUCAUUAUGACAACAUUAAAACAGACUGAAGACAGGUUUAUAAUGACACAUCUCCCAUUAUGACAACAUUAGAACAGACUGAAGACAGGUUUAUAAUGACACAUCUCUCAUUAUGACAUCAUUAGAAC
ensembl:lncRNA